GGGUGAGUAACACGUGGGUAACCUGCCCUAAAGUCUGGGAUACCACUUGGAAACAGGUGCUAAUACCGGAUAACAACAAUAGCUGCAUGGCUAUUGCUUAAAAGGCGGCGAAAGCUGUCGCUAAAGGAUGGACCCGCGGUGCAUUAGCUAGUUGGUAAGGUAAUGGCUUACCAAGGCGACGAUGCAUAGCCGAGUUGAGAGACCGAUCGGCCACAUUGGGACUGAGACACGGCCCAAACUCCUACGGGAGGCAGCAGUAGGGAAUCUUCCACAAUGGGCGAAAGCCUGAUGGAGCAACGCCGCGUGAGUGAAGAAGGUUUUCGGAUCGUAAAGCUCUGUUGUUGGUGAAGAAGGAUAGAGGUAGUAACUGGCCCCUAUUUGACGGUAAUCAACCAGAAAGUCACGGCUAACUACGUGCCAGCAGCCGCGGUAAUACGUAGGUGGCAAGCGUUGUCCGGAUUUAUUGGGCGUAAAGCGAGCGCAGGCGGAAAGAUAAGUCUGAUGUGAAAGCCCCCGGCUUAACCGAGGAAUUGCAUCGGAAACUGUGUUUCUUGAGUGCAGAAGAGGAGAGUGGAACUCCAUGUGUAGCGGUGGAAUGCGUAGAUAUAUGGAAGAACACCAGUGGCGAAGGCGGCUCUCUGGUCUGUAACUGACGCUGAGGCUCGAAAGCAUGGAUAGCGAACAGGAUUAGAUACCCUGGUAGUCCAUGCCGUAAACGAU
rnacentral:rRNA from 1 species